rnacentral:rRNA from 1 species
AUUGAACGCUGGCGGCAGGCCUAACACAUGCAAGUCGAACGAGUGGCGGACGGGUGAGUAAUGUCUGGGAAACUGACUGAUGGAGGGGGAUAACUACUGGAAACGGUAGCUAAUACCGCAUACCAUCGGAUGUGCCCAGAUGGGAUUAGCUAGUAGGUGGGGUAAAGGCUCACCUAGGAGACGAUCCCUAGCUGGUCUGAGAGGAUGAACAGCCACACUGGAACUGAGCCACGGUCCAGACUCCUACGGGAGGCAGCAGUGGGGAAUAGUGCACAAUGGGCGCAAGCCUGAUGAAGCCAUGCAGCGUGAAUGAAGAAGGCCUUCGGGUUGUAAAGUACUUUCAGCGGGGAGGCGUUACCCGCAGAAGAAGAACCGGCUAACUCCGUGCCAGCAGCCGCGGUAAUAC